GUAAAAAUUUUAUAAGAAUAUGAUGUUGGUUCAGAUUAAGCGCUAAAUAAGGACAUGACACAUGCGAAUCAUACGUUUAUUAUUGAUAAGAUAAUAAAUAUGUGGUGUAAACGUGAGUAAUUUUAUUAGGAAUUAAUGAACUAUAGAAUAAGCUAAAUACUUAAUAUAUUAUUAUAUAAAAAUAAUUUAUAUAAUAAAAAGGAUAUAUAUAUAAUAUAUAUUUAUCUAUAGUCAAGCCAAUAAUGGUUUAGGUAGUAGGUUUAUUAAGAGUUAAACCUAGCCAACGAUCCAUAAUCGAUAAUGAAAGUUAGAACGAUCACGUUGACUCUGAAAUAUAGUCAAUAUCUAUAAGAUACAGCAGUGAGGAAUAUUGGACAAUGAUCGAAAGAUUGAUCCAGUUACUUAUUAGGAUGAUAUAUAAAAAUAUUUUAUUUUAUUUAUAAAUAUUAAAUAUUUAUAAUAAUAAUAAUAAUAAUAUAUAUAUAUAAAUUGAUUAAAAAUAAAAUCCAUAAAUAAUUAAAAUAAUGAUAUUAAUUACCAUAUAUAUUUUAUAUGGAUAUAUAUAUUAAUAAUAAUAUUAAUUUAUUAUUAUUAAUAAUAUAUUUUAAUAGUCCUGACUAAUAUUUGUGCCAGCAGUCGCGGUAACACAAAGAGGGCGAGCGUUAAUCAUAAUGGUUUAAAGGAUCCGUAGAAUGAAUUAUAUAUUAUAAUUUAGAGUUAAUAAAAUUAAUUAAAGAAUUAUAAUAGUAAAGAUGAAAUAAUAAUAAUAAUUAUAAGACUAAUAUAUGUGAAAAUAUUAAUUAAAUAUUAACUGACAUUGAGGGAUUAAAACUAGAGUAGCGAAACGGAUUCGAUACCCGUGUAGUUCUAGUAGUAAACUAUGAAUACAAUUAUUUAUAAUAUAUAUUAUAUAUAAAUAAUAAAUGAAAAUGAAAGUAUUCCACCUGAAGAGUACGUUAGCAAUAAUGAAACUCAAAACAAUAGACGGUUACAGACUUAAGCAGUGGAGCAUGUUAUUUAAUUCGAUAAUCCACGACUAACCUUACCAUAUUUUGAAUAUUAUAAUAAUUAUUAUAAUUAUUAUAUUACAGGCGUUACAUUGUUGUCUUUAGUUCGUGCUGCAAAGUUUUAGAUUAAGUUCAUAAACGAACAAAACUCCAUAUAUAUAAUUUUAAUUAUAUAUAAUUUUAUAUUAUUUAUUAAUAUAAAGAAAGGAAUUAAGACAAAUCAUAAUGAUCCUUAUAAUAUGGGUAAUAGACGUGCUAUAAUAAAAUGAUAAUAAAAUUAUAUAAAAUAUAUUUAAUUAUAUUUAAUUAAUAAUAUAAAACAUUUUAAUUUUUAAUAUAUUUUUUUAUUAUAUAUUAAUAUGAAUUAUAAUCUGAAAUUCGAUUAUAUGAAAAAAGAAUUGCUAGUAAUACGUAAAUUAGUAUGUUACGGUGAAUAUUCUAACUGUUUCGCACUAAUCACUCAUCACGCGUUGAAACAUAUUAUUAUCUUAUUAUUUAUAUAAUAUUUUUUAAUAAAUAUUAAUAAUUAUUAAUUUAUAUUUAUUUAUAUCAGAAAUAAUAUGAAUUAAUGCGAAGUUGAAAUACAGUUACCGUAGGGGAACCUGCGGUGGGCUUAUAAAUAUCUUAAAUAUUCUUACA
rnacentral:ncRNA from 2 species